ACGGCAGUAGCUCAACCGGCAGAGCACUGGUCUCCAAAACCAGGGGUUGAGAGUUCGAGUCUCUCCUGCCGUG
rnacentral:tRNA from 1 species